UCAGAGCUCAGGCGAUUCCGCCCGUCCGAUUGAUCUCCUGAUGCGUUUCCGGCCGUCGGAUCUCGGGUUCGGUUCACGUGAGGCGUAGGAUAUUUACCAGAUCGCCGUGAGCCGUUAGAUAAAAUUCCAAUGCCACCGCGUGUAAAACUAGAUGGUUGCGGAGGGCAUUUUCGUCAUUUCCCAUGGUUGGAAAAAUAUCCAAUCGCCACAUGGGCGUGACCUAGCCGUCGCUUCUCCACAUUCGCUCGUCCCACCUCCUCUGCCUCGCACGCCGCCACCGCUCGCCCUCACGCCGCCGCCGCCUCCGCUCGCCCUCGCGCCGCCCCCUUGCCUCUCUCUCUCUCUCCCUCCGAGCCCUAGAACCUCACCCGCGCCUCCCAGCUCCGCCGCCGUCCAGGUCCAGCCCCAUGCCACCGUUGUCUUCUCGCCCAGCCGGCCGCCACCACACCGCACGCUCGUGCGCAGGGGCGAGAAGGGGAACCACCGCCCGCUCCCGGAGCGCGAGGAGGACGUGGUGAUGCAGCGCCCAGAUCCACGGCGGCAUCGACGCGCCGUCGUCGACCUGAGCCACCACCGUCCUCGAGGUCGGCCAUGGAGGGGGGGUCCGACCCAGGUACAGCCGUGGACGGAGACACCCCAAACCCUAGCAUUGCUGCUGCUGGUCAAGGUGCACGCACGCGUCCAGCAGCGAACCCUAGCCUCGGACGACAGCAGCGGCCAUCACCAAUGACGGCAGCGACAGGGGGUGAAUUAGUUCUGCAGAUAACAUUCAAUGCACUGUCUGAACUGCGUCCGUGUAACUCGCUCUAGCAUAUCCUGUGUGUGCAUAUCACGUCUGUGGCAUCACCAUGGUGGAACCGAAAAUGGACCUAUCAAGGAGAUGGAUGUGGUUAUACUAGAUGCAGGGUAACCAUAUGUAUGCAGAGAUGCCUGAGAAAUUUGUUAACCAAUUUAUAUGCGUCCUCCAAGAGUGUGGGUUGAUGAUCUGUCGCAAGUUUCUGGUCUUUCUCAAGAAGUAUGUCUUCGGGCCGGUGGAGAGUCAAUACAUGAUUAAGUUCACUAGGUAUACAACUGUUGCGUGAUGGGAGGGUCUAGAAGCAGAAUUUCCUUUCUGCACCUAUGUCCUGACUCCAAUUAAUCAGCUCCCAAGGCCUACAAACACGCCUGAGCGUUUCACAGAUGUGGUUGGGAUUAUCCCAGGUUUCUUUGUUCUUUCAUGUUGGAAUCAGUGACAAUACCUUGCCGGCACUCCUCGUAUUCUCUCCACUAUGUUUGGCUAAGGUUGCAAAGGUGGGUACGAGGAGAUGAGUCUCGUGGCGGUGAGCGGAACGGAGACAAGGAUGGCGACUUUAUGCUUCUCGGAGACCUCAUCUGGAGGUGGUGGCCAAAGGCAAAUGGUACAGAACCUCCAUGAGAUUUUGAAUUCUGCUUGAUGCAUACAAGAAAGGAUAUUGUGAACAUUUGGUUCAUUUUGGUUGUGGAUUGACCUAUGCUGUGCAAGGAAACAUGUUGUCACGCCUUCAAAUCAACCUGCGAUGUGUUAAGCGGAUCACUGUGUAACUGAAUGAUCAAUCAGAGAAGAGUAUUUUUUCCACCAAAAGUGAGGUGAAAUGUUUCUGUUCAUCUUGGUUGUACUUCAGAUAAGAUUUAGCUACAGAUAAUCAGUAGUCACCUAAUGUAUUUGUUUGCCAAGUGUGUAGUGAGCGCUAAGGUGUCACUGGUUAUUUUACAUCCUUUAUUCUUAUUCCAUUUAACCUCCAAAUGAAAUACUCUAGGAGAUUUGUUGGUGCUCCAUUAACCAAAUAUCGCUGACAAAAUGUGGUUGUCAUUUCAGUUGAGAGAAAAAUUGCAUACUUUGUGAACCAACGGGAGAUUCAUCGUUUAAUAUUAUUCUUUAAUCACUAAAUCAUAUAGGAGAUUCCUUUGGUGCCCCAUUAACCAAAUAUUAGUAUUACUAAUAAAACUGACAAAAUGUUAUUCUGGGUGUGACUGAGCCCUGCUGAGGCAAGGUCACCCCUUUUACCCACUUACAUCCUCAAACGGUGAGUCCCUGACACCCCUCUCUCUAUUGAUUGAUCCAUAUAUCGCUAGGAAAGAAUGGCUCCCUAUCAGUUCAACUACUAUUGGACUAUGAAUUAUUUUUUUUUAGGGAAAUUAAUUACUCCUUGGAGAAUCAUAGAUCCAUGUUCUAUUUUUGUCAUGUAAGUUAGGUUAUAACUAUGUAGUUACAACCACAUAUUUAGUGUUGCAAUAAAAAACAAUUAAUAAUAGAAACAAGUCAAUUAUGCGACUCGGUUGCGUCUUUCUGCAUAUCAAUCUUGGUUUAGGUCAUUUAUUAUUUGAUCCCGUGAUUGUGUUGAUGGCUUAGUUUCUAUUUCUUCAGAAAGGCACAAAUAUGAUCAACCCUAUCCAAUUAAAGUUUAAUCACCUCACAUAUACAUGCUUUUUUAAAUAUAGAGUUGUAUUCAAUUUGGCUAGGAUGUAAUCCCAGUGCUCCUAAAGUUAUUCCCCAAGCAAUCAAAUAUUUGAAGUGUUCUUUUGGAAGAAAUGUCUUCCUGCACAAUACUAUGUAUGGCUAGCUGCUAGCUGUUGAUUUAUAUUGAUUUCUGUCAAAUAGGCUGCAGUUAUAUAAACCUUAAUGAGACAUCUUUGAAGAGAGUUUAGCCAUUCCAUAUUUCUCUUUCGGGCAUGUGUUGGCAUGAUAUUAGUACCAACGACUCAUGUGGUGGCUUACAUGAGAAGUGUUACAUGUCUUGGCAUGAUUUUAUAUAAGCCAGUAACACCGUUUUAUUUUCUGUCUGCCAUGAUUUAUCAGUUUGGUUGUUAUAAAUCUGUUUUUCAUCUAGCUCAUAUCACUGUUUAUUUGAAUUCCUUGCAUUUGUGGUUGGCUGACGGUAUAAGCAUUAUUUAUUAAGUGAAUUUGUAGACUGAUGUAAUUGCAGACUAAUAAUAGUAUUGACAUUGUUUGCUUACUAACUAAUGUCUCUGUAGUAGGCCAAUUUGUGUGUUUUUGGUUGUGGCAGACCAUUUUUAGUCAAAUUGAGAAACAACUGCCUUUUGGUCUCGGCCCAUAACCAACCGUGAAAGAUGAGAUGUUUAUGCUGCCCUUCUACCUUCCUCCCUGUCCCUACUUUUCCCCAUCGUGUGUUCGUCUCUCUGAAGUAAAGUAAACAUGAAACUAUAUGCUGAAAAGUGGGGUGAUAAAUAUCCAGUUACUAAAUUCACUAAAUUUGUGAUCCCAAUAGUGUGAUCAAAAUAGUGAAAUGUCAGGGUUUGCUCUACUGCAAAUUUGCAGUUUACUUGAACUUUGUUGUGAUGAGCAAUUCUGGUCUGACCAAACUAAUAAAUGCAUGUGCUUUUCAUGUUUUGUUCCUAGUAAGAAGUUGAUUCUGUAUUUUAUGUAUUUGUUGUGAGCUACUUUUAACUCUGAUAAAGAACGUACAUUGUAUUUUCUUGCUGGUGUCCUUACAUCUUUGAUCUGAUGCUUUAUUACCGGGUUGGGAGUGAUCGCACCCGCAGGGGUGCGACAAGCCACAAUUUCUAUCUGGUCUAUGUUAGGCCUGUCCAGACGACUUCAACUUCUGUACGCUACAUUUUCUUUUGGAUGUGUCAUGUCGUCAUUUCUAUUGGUCUACGUUAUGCCUAAGACCAACCAAGGAUUUAUCAGUUUGGUUGUUAUAAAUUGUCUGUAAGCUACUACAUGUUGUCGUGUCUUUUAUGCCUAAGAUAUUUAGUGCUAAACCUAUCGGCGAAACAUGCUUUCUAUGUUCAUGCAUUGUUUAGAGGCUUCUUAUUGUGUGUAUACAAACAUUUGGACCGGCACCCUCGCGCCAAGGCGUGAUCCCGAUCUAGUUUCAGAAUAUUGUUAGCCCAACAUACAUGAUAUUUGUACAUUAGCAACAUGUAUGUUAGUCCCAAAAUGAAUUUUUGAACUAUGGAUGGUACCACUAAAUUUUUUUGAACCACAUCUAAAUUUCUCAUUUGCUUCUCUGUUUACAUGACCCACAAUGCACUUGAUUUCCAAACUAAUAGAUUUGGAAACAAUAGUAGUUUUGGUUUGUUUUUAUUCAACAACAGUUGCAUAUUCUUGCUAUAAUCUGUGAUAUGGUCUGUGCUGGCUAUCAUGCUUCUUAAUUUCCAAUAUAUUGAUCCAACAAUUACAGCAUGGCCUGAUAGACAUUGAAAUCAAUUUGUUCGGGCUGAGAACCAUUCUAUAUAAUACUCACCAUUGUUUCGUUUCUUUUGGUCUAGGACAAAGGGUAUAGGAAUGUUUGUAUUCAGAUAGAAGGCUGAAUUAGAUGCAUUCUUCGAGAAAAAUUUACAUCUUUUUACUAAUUCCUCUCUUUGUUUUGUUUGUUUGGCUAUUUCAGAAUGACAACGAGAUACACCUCCUUGAUGAAAAUAUAUGGGCAGUCAUGUAGUCAUCACCGAGGAAGAUAUCGUAUGUAGCUUACUAUAUUUUUCGACUGCCAAAACAUGAGAAGGAAAGUGCGCCUUUGCUUUGGUCUUGCUGUUGUUAUGAGGUCCAUUUGUAAAGAGCAUGGAUAUGCCCCUUCCAAAGCUCUAUGCUAGCUUCUUUGUUUUAUAGUAUUUAACAAAAUUCUUCAUCAACAGUUUGAAUACUUGUUUGUUUUAUAGUAUUUCGCAGAAUUCUUCAUCAACAGUUAGAAUAACAAUGUCCUAAGAAAUUUGGAUGACUCAUAUUAUUGAAUCGAUCCAUGUUUAAGCUAAAUUGUUAUGGAUUGAACUUUGAGGAGCUCAAUCCAUAUAGCUAAAUUGAUGUUAUUUAGUUACGAAAUUAGAGAAAAGUGGGAUGCUCCUUUUCUGACUAGGUGCAUACUUUCACUUGAUUUCUAUAUUUUAAAUGCUCCCCUCCUGUUGCUAAGAACAUAUAGCCAUGUGAUUUUUCUUGCUAAUUUUCUGUCAUUUAAGAGUUCUAUUUUGCUCUGUUCCUAUAGUAACCAUUUGGGACUUGGAUACAAAGUUUUGUCCUGGGCGGUUGAAUUUAUAAGGACAUGAUAUCUUGCCAUUAUGCAACCUAUACCAUGCUUGUGUCAUGGCAGUAUUAACCCCUCCAUCUACUCUUUGUUGCUGAAGAAACCAGUAGUUGUAUUCAUUGCAUGUCAGCUGGUCUACGACUUCCAUAAGUUUGCAUCAUUUUUUUGAGUACUUUGCUGUUAGUAACUUCAACAAGACUAUAAAAAAAUGUUGGAUCUAUAGGGGGCAACACAUAACCAGCAAUAAUGAGGUGCCGUUGGCCAUGGGUGCAGUUGUCCACAGCUAGGGGUGGGAUUGUUAGUUUGUUACAACAUAUGGAUGAUAUGCACAUGGAAGGCUGAUAUAAACAAGCUAUAAUUGUUUGGGCUAUGAUUCGCAACAUAGAUUGGGGAUUUUAAAAUGUCAGACAAGAAAGUUAUCGGCCUGGUCGUCGCUUGAGUCGGAUGAGGUCAUGGUUACUUUACCUGAUGAGUUACUGCCCAGGAAGAGCACAAUCCACCACCGCUAUAUAGCAGAUGGAGCUACCAAGGACGUCGUCAUAUUGACCGCCGAUGACCUACAUCCUUUCGCUUCCCCUCAUGUUUUGCAGAAUAGAAGUGGCCUGAAAGCCACUUGAAUGAAAUCUUGUGUCUUGCGAUGUGUCAAUGCCAUGAAUUAGAUGUUUGUAGUAUAUUUUUUUAAUUGAAAUGUUUACCUGUGAUAUUGAGCACAGUACAUUAGUGCAUGGAUCAGCAUUGCAGUUUCAACUCUUUUGAUGUAUGGUGAUCUCUGUUUUGUGCAGACUAACAAGGCUUUGUAGUGAAUUUUUAUAGGUCACAUGCGACAAGUUGCCCUUCGUAUGUUAAUCUUGAUACUUUGUACUGAAUUUUUAUGCGAACCAUUUAUUUGUCC